rnacentral:lncRNA from 1 species
ACUUGAUAAACACCUCAAGUGCUUUUUAGUAAUGAGGCAAGAUAUAAGCAAGCAAGCAAACAAACUUGCACAUUAUUCAUUCAUUCAUUCUGGUAAAUGAAAUGCAUUAGAAGGGGAUCAGCAUAUGCCUCCCCAAAAUAUGCCACUUUGGCAUAAGGUUACAUGCAGCUGAAGGCAAUUGAGAAAAAGAGCUUCCUGCUCUUCCCCUUUCUGCCUAAAAGCAGGUCAUAAAUUUCCCUUGUAAGGGUGUCCCUCUUUCCUAUAUCAGAGAGAGGAGAACAACACAUGAUCAGAGACAGCACAGAGACGAGUCCACACAACAAGCUUUACUAAAUGAUCCUUAUCUACCAUUAGCUUCCCCUGUAUGUUUUCUAGUUACCGUCUCAUAAUUUAUCACCCCUAGAAGCCCGAACACCCUUUCCUUUGUCUAGUCACUUCCCACAAAUUAUUACUCUUUGUUAAAAUGGAUAUAAGUCUAACUGCUUCUUUGGGUUUUUCACCUUUUUUCUGUGGAGCCCCUUGCAUCUAAAAUUAAAAAUAUUAAGAAAAUAUGUAAGCCCUUUCUCUCAUUAAUCUGUCUUUUGUCUGUUUAAUUCACAGGCCUCAGAGACUGAAACUAACUGGGUAGAGGGAGCUUUUCCUCCCCUACACAUUAUACAAAUGUAGGGGUAAUUUUAUUUUCCAGUCUGCUGUAGUGAAAUAAAAGGAAAUGCAGUACAGGAACAACAUUUCAAUGAUGCUGGAACUACUUCGUACUUGCCCUGCUAAAAUCUUACAGAUUAACCUCCCGCUGUAUCACUGAUAAGCUGUCGUGGUAUGCAAGUCGAUUUCCUUCCUCCAUCCUCUGGUCCUGCAAUUACCAAGUACAAUGUGCCUA